GUUUUGUGUUAUUCUCUCCCCUCCUGCGAUUAACCAAGCGAUAUCGCUAACUGCAUAUUCAAUCCCAAAACCAUGAAACGAUCCAUCGACGAAUCCACGGCGCCAAUUCCCAAACCCGUUUUCCUCACCAAAGCCCAGCGUGAACAGCAAGCACUUGAACGCCGCCACAUUCAAGUCACCGGUCAUCGCCGCAAUCAGGAAGAACUUCUCCUUUCUACUAAUAACCGUCCCUCCGAUCCAAAACCCUCCGAUUCCGAUCGACGCGAUCGUGAUUCAGAUCGUCGAGAUAGAGAUAGAGAUAGAGAUAGGGACAGUUACAGAGAUAGAGAAAGGGAUAGAGAUAGAGAUAGAGAACGUGAUAGGGAAAGGGAACGGGAAAGGGAUAGGGAUAGAGAUAACAGAGAUCGGGAACGGCGAAACCGCGAUAAGGAACGUGAAGAAGAGAGUAAGGCUCGUGAGCGUGCUCGAUUAGAGAAGCUAGCGGAACGAGAGAAAGAGAAAGAGCUUGAAUCGAUUAAAGAACAAUACCUAGGUUCGAAGAAACCUAAAAAGAGGGUUAUUAAGCCUAGCGAGAAAUUUCGAUUUUCUUUUGAUUGGGAAAAUACUGAGGAUACUUCGCGUGAUAUGAAUUAUCUUUACCAAAACCCUCACGAGGCUCAGCUUUUGUUUGGACGAGGGUUUCGUGCUGGGAUGGAUCGUCGUGAGCAGAAGAAGCUUGCGGCUAAGAAUGAGAAGGAGAUGCGGGAUCAGAUCAGGAAGAAGGAUGGGAUCGAGGAGAAGCCUGAGGAGGCUGAUGCUCAGAGGCGGAAGGAGGAGGCUGCUGAUAUGUAUGAUACGUUUGAUAUGAGGGUUGAUCGUCAUUGGAGUGAGAAGAAGCUUGAAGAGAUGACGGAGAGAGAUUGGCGAAUUUUCAGGGAGGAUUAUAAUAUAUCAUACAAAGGUUCUAAGAUUCCUCGUCCUAUGAGGAGUUGGGUUGAGAGCAAGUUGAGUCAAGAGCUUUUGAAGGCUGUGGAGAAAGCUGGUUACAAAACCCCUUCUCCAAUUCAGAUGGCUGCUAUUCCCCUUGGUCUUCAGCAGCGUGAUGUUAUUGGUGUUGCUGAGACAGGUUCGGGGAAGACUGCUGCGUUUGUUCUUCCUAUGUUGAGUUACAUCACAAGGCUUCCUCCUAUUAGUGAGGAGAAUGAGGCUGAGGGUCCUUAUGCUGUUGUCAUGGCGCCAACUCGCGAGCUUGCUCAGCAGAUUGAGGACGAGACUGUGAAAUUUGCUCAGUAUAUGGGAAUUAAAGUUGUUUCCAUUGUUGGUGGUCAGUCCAUUGAGGAGCAAGGGUUUAAGAUAAGGCAGGGUUGUGAAAUUGUGAUUGCUACUCCUGGUCGUUUGAUUGAUUGCUUGGAGCGUCGUUAUGCGGUUCUCAACCAGUGUAAUUAUGUUGUUCUUGAUGAGGCUGAUCGCAUGAUUGAUAUGGGGUUUGAGCCACAGGUCAUGGGUGUGCUUGAUGCCAUGCCUUCUAGUAAUUUGAAACCUGAGAAUGAAGAUGAAGAGCUCGAUGAGAAAAGGAUUUAUAGGACCACUUAUAUGUUUAGUGCCACCAUGCCUCCUGCUGUGGAGAGGCUUGCUAGGAAGUAUUUGAGGAACCCUGUUGUGGUGACUAUAGGCACUGCUGGAAAAACAACUGACUUGAUUAGCCAGCAUGUGAUAAUGAUGAAGGAAUCUGAGAAAUUUUAUAAGCUUCAGAGAUUGUUGGAUGAGCUUAAUGAUAAAACCGCAAUUGUGUUUGUCAACACCAAGAAGAGCGCCGAUUUUCUUGCUAAGAAUUUGGAUAAGGAAGGCUAUCGUGUGACCACUUUGCACGGAGGGAAAUCACAGGAACAGAGAGAGAUCAGUCUUGAAGGAUUUAGGACCAAGAGAUAUAACGUGCUUGUUGCAACCGAUGUUGCUGGACGUGGUAUUGACAUACCUGAUGUAGCUCAUGUUAUCAACUAUGAUAUGCCUGGGAAUAUUGAAAUGUACACCCAUCGUAUAGGACGUACUGGUCGUGCGGGAAAGACUGGUGUGGCUACAACAUUCCUGACUCUCCAGGACACUGAUGUUUUCUAUGACCUUAAGCAGAUGCUCAUUCAGAGUAACAGUGCCGUUCCACCUGAAUUGGCAAGGCAUGAAGCUUCCAAAUUCAAGCCAGGAUCUAUUCCUGACAGACCACCUAGGCGAAAUGACACUGUUUUUGCCCAUUAGAGAACUUUCUUUUGAGGUUUAUUGCAGGUUUUGUCGUUUCUGCUUGUGCGCAUUCCUUGAACACAGGCAGCAUAUUGUCUCCGCUGAGCAACAAAUUUUGGAAAAGACAGUGAGUGCUUCGAGAAAAGAUUGGGCGAUCAAACUAGAUGACGCACUAUGGGCGUACUGAACCGCCUUCAUAACCCCAAUCGGCAUGUCUCUGUAUCAACUGAUUUAUGGUAAGGCUUGUCAUCUCCCUCUGGAAUUAGAGCAGAAAGCCUUUUGGGCAUCCAAGUUCUUGAAUUGUGAUCUUGCAAAAGUCGGUGAAUCCCGAAUUCUUCAACUUUACGAGUUAGAAGAAUUUCGUAAUCAGGCCUAUGAGAAUGCGAAGAUGUACAAGGAGCAAACACGGAAGUGGCAUGAUUAGAGAAUCAUCAAAAAAGAUUUCCGGGAAGGACAACUGGUGUUGUUGUUUAAUUCGAGGCUCAAGUUGUUUCCUGGCAAAUUGAAAUCAAGAUGGUCCAGGCCAUUUGUUGUGCAUAAGAUAUCUCCCCACGAAGCGAUAGAAAUCAAGAAUCAAACAAAUGGAGAUAUAUUCAAGGUGAAUGGCCAGCGGUUAAAGCCCUAUUACAUAGGCCAAGAGUCUGGAUUGAUUAACCAUGUGCGCCUCACCUAAUGAGGUGGACGACCGUCGAGCCAUGCGACGUUAAACGAAGCGCUUCGUGGGAGGCAACCCACGCGUUUGAUUGCUAACUUAUUUCACUUUUCUUUUUCUUUGUGUGUGUUAAAAUUUUGUUGUAGGUGAGGAGGAGAACUAGAAGGGUAAAGUCACAAACACCUCUAAAUGGAAGGACACCAUACAAAUGCAGCAAAAUAACAAAAUAAAAUUCAAAAGUUGAGGGAAACAUACCAUUUACACGGGCACCCGUGUGUAGGAACACGGUCCGUGUUGAUUGCCAUGAACAGAAAGUGGGCGUGUGCAAGAGAAAAAAACAGUUCAUUAACACGGGCACCCGUGUGGAGGCACACGGCCCGUGUUGUUGGCCCUGAACCAAAGAGGAAAAGAACAAAAAAACAGUUCAUUAACACGGCCACCCGUGUGGAUACACACGGCCCGUGUUGUUUCAUACGGGUUGGAUUUUGAUUUUUUUUUUUGGAAUUUUGUUGUUUUUAAUGGUGGGACCCAUUUUGCUUUUAUCUCACCUCCACCAGUUAUUCUCCACUAUUUUGAGUUUUCAAGUCUCUCACUCUCUCUUCUUCCAUUGUUAACCUAGCCUCCACCACCUAAAGCUUCACUUUUCACCACUAUCCACUCCAUAAAACCUCAUCUCCCUUUCACAAAAACUAUUCUACUCUCCGUCUUCUACGUAGUGACAGUGACCGUUUUCACUAAUUUGUUAGUUGGGUUUUGAGAAUUUUUUGCAGGUACCCAUUAUGCCCCCGAAGAGAGCAAGCAAAGGAAAGGUUGUGGCCACAUCUUCCAGGCCAAAGCAACGUGCGAGACGCACUCCAAAUGCACAUGGCAUCUUGUUUGAGGAACCAGAUCACCAUGAUAGGUAUGUGAUACUUGCUUAACGUAAACUCAUUCCUACACGAUAUACGUGUGAUGCUACUCUUGAUGAGUUAGGAUUAAAGGAAGAAGUGCAUCGCAUGUUUCACAACAUCGGUAUGUUAGAAUUUAUGCAAUUUGAAGCACCAACGUUUGCACGCAUCACACUUGAAUUUUUUAGCACGAUUGAGUUUAAGAUGAGACGCAGGUGGACCGGUUCCGAAAUGGAAUUUUAUGGUCAGUUGACUUUCCGAUUGUUCGAUGAGGAUCAUGAGUUAUCUGUGGAGGAACUUGGGGGUAUUCUAAGACUCCCAGUAUCUGGACCCGGAGCACCUCCAGACACUUUUUCAGCGGUUGAUUUCGGGAGGGCUAUUACAGGUAAAAAUGGUUACAACCCGAGUUCGGGCAAGGCUUCUGGGAUUCAUAACCCUUGUUUCAGGUAUGCACAAAAGGGGUUAGCUUACACCUUGUUUGGACGGGGUGAUAACACCGGGGUGGCCGCAAAGAGAGAGUUGUUUUUCCUACACUACAUGGCCAACAAUGAGAGAGUCAACGUAACCGCUUUUACUGCCAAUCAUUUGAAGCAAGUUGGCCAUGCAAGUACAGGUGAUAUUUCUGUGGGUGACAUGAUCACUCAGAUUGUGGACCACUUUGGUUAUGGUCAGCUCUUGUUGGAAGAAGCAGCAGUGGCAGGUAAGACAAAGAUCAACAUGAACACUCUUGUAAAUCAACAAAUGAUUUCAAUCAUGCCGAAUUAUUACUCUCUGGUGAUUCAUAAUGUGGAAGUGCUUGCAUUACCAGCACCUGGUUCCAUUAGUAUUGCAAAUGUUGCUAACUGGCUGUAUACAGCUUCAGCCUCAUCUGCAGGGGACAAUGUUCAAUAUGACCAGGAUUUUUCAGGUGAUGAGAUGAAGGAAGAUGAUAGACCAGAAGAGCAAUUAGUGCCACCCCACAAGAUUCAAACCUACAUGGUGAAGGGUCCUCUUCUAUGUCUCAGGACCAGUGAGGUUGGAUCCAAACUGAGAUGAGUAUCCUCCGCACCGAGCAAACCAGACAAGGUGUGGAAUUAUCCAGACAGGGUGUGGAAUUGUUCCGACAAGGGACGAUCAUGGAUGACAUGCAAGCUAUGAUGCAACGUCUGAUGUUGCAUUUCCCGCACGAUCCUCCGUCUCCUCCACAACAGUAGUCACUGUAAGUCCCCUUUGUAUUUGGAUUUAAACAUUGAGGUCAAUGUUUAGUUCAGGUGUGAGGGGUUUGUCCUUUCAUGUUUUAUUUCGUUUUCAACUUGUUUAUGUUUUUGGUUUUUGUUUUUGCUUCUGUUGUCGUAGUAGUUGUGUUUUUGUUGUUUACCUGUGUGUACAGAGUGAUGAGAAAUUGUUGGACGAAUCCGGGAUCGAUUAUAGUGGAUGAAAGACACCCCUCAUACUUGUUCUGAUAAGGUACCCCAGAAGUUGAUGCAACCAUGAGAAAGUAAAAGUCGGACACAAUUUGGUGACACUGGACCAAGAGAGCGGUAUGGUAGAACCGAAUCGAAAAAGAACCACAUGACACUAGGAGGCUUCAGAGCUUGUAAGUUUAACCAACAUGGUGAGAAUACAAAGGCCAUUGAAAUUCUGGUGUAGUCAGAAUUCAGAUGUUCUACUCCAAGUCAUGACAUCUGAUCCAACAUUGUCACUAAUACAGCAAGACAGUUAUACAAUUUAAACCCUGUACUAAUAUACACAGGUACACAGAUGUCACGACAUCUGCUUCUAUGUCACCCUAGAAUGGAGGAACACCUAGUUAUGUGCAUCUGGUAGAAAGACUCAGUAGAGAUCAACCAUAGCUCUAACUUCUGUUAUUUUCCUACACAGUUAUCAACAAGAUGUCUCAAUAGUGAUUUGAACAUCACCUGUUACAUUAUUCCAGUUGGCUGGCCUUGUACUUGUAUUUCCUAAAAUAAAGGUUGAACAAGUUAAUCUAAUUUCCACUUAUUAGGGUGCUAACAAAUAGGCUAUUUGUUAGGUUCAUUACAUGUAGUUCAGUUGUUAGUUUCCUGGAUUUUAGCCUGAGAAAAUUACUGAAACAGAAAAACUAAUCAUCCUACAAUUCAGCACAUGCUGUCAAGACUGAAUGUUACAACAUUCAGUUUGACAACCAGAACAUAAACCUCAUGCUUUCAUGCGUAUGUUUGAAUUUUUCAAUGGCGUAAUGCUCCAUGAAAAUGGAAAUGCUACGCGAUUUGGGAGAAUGCAAUGCAAUAUGAUUCUACAUGCAGGGAUGCGAAAUGCUGGGUAGAAUGCCAAACUAAGGCAAUGGGAUCUGCUAGGGAAAUGAUCACCAUCCUUUGGGCUCUAGCAAGGCUGCUGGAGAUGCACAGCGCAAAGAAAUAUGUGGGGAAAUGACCCGCCACACGGUGUUCUAGCAAUGAUGAAAUGCCGAGAUUCUGACUGGGGAGAGAACGACACUGAAAACCUGCUGUUGGGGAAAGCGAUAGUGGUUCUGGCAACCACGAUCUGCGAGAGAUGACUCAGCAGGGGAAGCAAACACUGAUACGAUACCGAGGUUCUGCUUCAAGGAAAGAAACCAUGGAUCUGGCAUUGGGAUUAUCGAUCUGGCUUCGAACUCUAAGGAGCAGCCACUUCUGCUGGGAAGAUACAGUCUGGCACUGUCAACUCCGCUGGGGAUAUAUAGUCUGACACUGUCAACUCUACUAGGGAGUGUAUGUCCUGAAAAAAACGCUUGGGGAAGUACAGUGGUGAGAACCUGCUGGGGAUUGAAGAAUCCAACACUCUGAUCAGCUCUGCAGGGAUAAGACACCGGAUUCGUCUGUUGGCGACUUCACUGGGGAAGAUAUUCACGAUCAUCUGCAGGGAAUUUUAAGGAAAUGCCCCGAGGGUAUUUGUUCUGAAUAGACGAUCCAAAGCACUUAAAAUUUACAGCAAUUUUAAAUGUUUAUUAAGCAUGUACCUGUAAAGCCCUUAUGUGUCAUGAUGCAGUGUUUAUCAAAAAUUCGGACGUCAUUUUUGCAAACAAAACAGUAAAAUGAAAAUGAAAACAGAGAUAUACUGAAUAACAUGAUUUUAUUGAUUGAAUGGCCUCUGAAUAGGCAUUUACAUCAGGAAGCAAUCCCUGGAAAGAGGUAAUCGCACAAAAGAUAAAAAACAGAAAUUAAUCUAAUGGCAAUGUGAAAUGGAUUUCUAUUGGGUUCCAAUUCUGCUAUGACUUGCCCGUCUUCAAGAUCCUCUAGAUGAUCAGCCUUCUGAAAAGGUGAUUGGACUGUUUCCUACCCUUCGAAAAUUUCCAGUCAUCGACAUGAGAUGAGAUUCAGAACUAACUCAGAACGCAGUCAUUCGCUUAAUCCCUAACUUUUGCCUGGAUCGUCCUUUUCGGGUUUUCAAUCCACCGGGAUACCCAUUUUUACCUAAGUUGCCUUUUCAGGUUUUCAACUUACCGGGUGUACGAUCUUUUCAUUUUUAAUCCCUAAUUUUUGCCCGAACCUUUUCAUUUUCUUGGUUCGUCGGGAUGCCCAUUUUUGCCUGGACUAUUCUUUUUACUGUCCAGCGGGUCAAUUUUAUGCGAAGUAUUUUUUAACUGCGUCUGAGUUCACAGGGGAAGUGAAGCUUUCACCAUCCAUAGUUGCAAGCAUUAAGGCCCACCAUCAAAAACCUUGGUGACAAUAUACGGUCCAUCAUAGUUAGGAGUCCACUUGCCCCUAUGAUCGGUCUGAGGAGGAAGGAUCCUUUUCAACACUAAAUCUCCGACUUGGAAACAACGAGGACGCACUUUUUGAUCAAAGGCUCUCUUAAUCCGACGCUGAUACAACUGCCCAUGACAAAUGGCUGCCAUUCGCUUCUCUUCGAUAAGACUCAACUCAUUGAACCUUGUCCGAAUCCAUUCGGCUUCGUCUAACUUGACAUCCAACAGGACUCUUAGAGAAGGAAUCUCCACUUCAACAGGUAGGACUGCUUCCAUACCAUACACCAGGGAGUAAGGGGUUGCCCCAAUCGACGUACGUACUGAAGUACGGUACCCAUGCAAGGCGAAGGGUAGCAUCUCAUGCCAAUCUCUGUACGUGACGACCAUCUUCUGCACAAUCUUCUUUAUGUUCUUAUUUGCCGUCUCAACAGCGUCGUUCCUCCUGGCUUGGUAUGUGUUGUUAAUGAUGAAUGUCAAAACAUUCUGAUUGACAUUUAAACAGAAGGCUAUGUAUCAGGUCUGUUAUUAUCUUGAUAAGCAGACUGAAAUACAAGCUGAGUUAUGGCAGACAAGAUUAUAACAUGCAGAAGGUAAACAAACACAGGAAAUUGUUAACCCAGUUCGGUGCAACAUCACCUACUCUGGGGGCAUACCAAGCCAGGAAGAAGAUCCACUAUCAGCAGUAUUAAUUCAGAGUUAAACUCGCCCGUUUACAACUCUUCACUUAAUCCCUACCCAAUGCAAUCUAUACCUAGGAACUCCUAGAUAGAAACCUCCAGUUUCCAUUCCUAUCACUACAAAUACAAUUUAAUGUUAAACAACUUGAACUUGCUUCACAGCUUCAUUCAAGAACACAUAACUCUUACCUACAGGCUUUGAGUUACAAAUACUCUCAACUUUGAACACUGAGAAACACAUGGUAACCUUCCCACAAGUUGGGAGGUUUACCUCACACACACCCCUAAUUUUUCAUUCUAAGAGGCUUACAAAAACUAGGUUUCGAUAUGCUAUUUAUAACCUAAUCACCCAACUGGAUUUGGGCCUUCAGAAAUCGCAGCAAACUUCUCCUUUGCUGUUACAACAUCAGCAGAAACUUUCUGCUACAAAUAAGGUCUUCAAUCUUUUAGUUCCUUAAAUCUUUCCAUAUAUAUCUCCUUAUUUAGAGCCUAUAUAUUCUGAUUGAGUCUUUAAGACCUCCACAUGGGAGUUAGGAUAUUCACCAGAUAUCCUCACUAAUCCCAGAAUAUAUACUGAAUUAAUUAAUUCAGUUUUCUACACAUGUGCGAUGUCACAGACAUGAUGUCGUGACAUCGUACAUGACAUGUUGGUCCAGAUGUUGAACUUCUUCAACCCAACAUAUUAAAACAACAGAGAUGAUUACAUUAUUUGUUUUACAAAAUUAAUGCCAAUCCUAAGGUAUUAACACAAACACUAAAGAUCAACAUGAGAAUUCAGUCAGGUAUGACUCUAUCACUCUGAUUUUGCGUAUGUUCUUUUGACACUUCACAACAUGACAACACACACUGAGGCAAGUUGUUUGUUUAGCCCAGAGCCUUUCUAGCCAUCCCUAUUUGUAUGUUUACCCUUCGUGAACCCCCUUGAGCCUUAGCCAUUUUGUUCGUAAUAAACCCCAUGUUAACCAUUGAUCAUUCAUUUCUUCCAUUAAUCGGCAUGAUUGUUGUGGGUUACAAAAUGUGCAAAAAGCUAAGUUUGGGGUGGUAAUCUUGAAAGAAAGGGCAAGUGCAUAAUAAGAGAUCUAAAAGUAAUACAAAAUGAAGAGACAUGUGUCUGUCCAAAAAGAAAAAAAAAGAGAAAAAUGCACUUGCCGAGACUUAAGACUCUAACACCUAUAAAAUGCUCACAAAGAAUUGAGUUGAAAAGAGUCAAAAGUAAAUAAACCCCCAAAGUUAUGAGUUAUACAUAAGAAGAAAAAAAAAGAGAAAAUCAAACAACAUGAAUGCCGAGUUCAAAACCAUUUGUUAUCCAUUUAUGUGUUUAUCCCACCGUACCCAAGCCCCGUUACAACCGAAAAGACCUCAUAAAGUGUGUGGAAUCUAUUGUUGUAGUGAAAUUAGAAUGUAUUCAAAUUUAAGAGUUUGGUAUUGCAUGUUGUGCUGUGAGUGUAAACACCCUAACCAUGAGAGAUGUUGUGAGUGUGUGAAAAAGCUUGCAGGACGAGGCUUCUGAUGUGAAAAUGUGGCGAACAGUCUGAGUCGGAAAAACCGGAAACUUGAUUUGAAAGGAAGAACACAAGUUGUGAAGGACAAGGUUGCAUUAUGGAGAAUGAAUUCGUAGGUGACCUUUGUUUGGACUCAAUACAUCACUUGAGGACAAGCAAUUAGACAAGUUUGGGGUUGUGAUCGGUCACCAUUUCCAUUGAAUUCCCACCUUUGAUCCGACAUAUUUUCAUCACUUUGGUAAGAUUUGUGGUUGUUUAUAGUUGUUUUAUAGUCAUUUAUCAUGUUUUGUUAGUUUAUUAUCGCAUUUCAUUUUGUUACAUGUUUGUGUCAAAAAGUCUCUUUUAUGCUUCGAUUUGGUAGUGUUAUUGUUACAGGUUGUUGCACAGGUUUAAAAGGACUAAUAGUUGAUUGUUGGAUGCUCAGAGAGGCAAAAAUAUGAAGAUACAGCAGGUCAACACGGCCCCCCGUGUGCAUCAACACGGCCCGUGUUGUUUGUCAGGAAAAGAGAGCUCAGAGAGGUAAAACAGAGGGUUAACACAGGCACCCGUGUGAAUCCACACGGCCCGUGUUGAUGCCUCUGUAGCUUGCUCUGAAAAUACAAAUGUUGAACAGCACACACGGGCACCCGUGUGAAUCCACACGGCCCGUGUUGAUGGGCGCGACUGAGAAACUUUAUUUUUCGUCGUGUGGAUCUAUUCUGCUCAUUAAGGGUAUUUUGGACUUUUUGCUGGGAGAAAAUCCAUCUGAAGCUAUUAGAAGACUUGGGAGAAAAAGAGGACACUUUUUGACAUACGAAAGAAAACAUUGCACUGAAGAAGAUAGCUACUACGGAGGAUUCGAAGACGGCGAGCUUCAAGGGCAUCAACCAUUGAAGAUCAAAAUCUCCUAAUUCUUUGUAAUGUUUAAUUUUCACACUAUGAUUUCUUUGAAUACUAUGAGAGGCUAAACCCCCAAUGUUAGGGGGGUGGUCCUGAUUUGAUCGUAUAUUAUGAAUUCGAACAAAUGAUUUCCUUAUUACCAUGUUACGUAUUUCAAUUCAA